rnacentral:rRNA from 1 species
GACGAACGCUGGCGGCGUGCUUAACACAUGCAAGUCGAACGAAGUGGCGAACGGGUGAGUAAUACGUGGGUAACCUGCCCUCCUUUUUGGGAUACGCCUUGGGAACGGGGUCUAAUACCGAAUAUAGGGGGAAGUGAUCGCGGCCUAUCGGCUUGUUGGUGGCGUGGGGGCCUACCGAGGCGGGGACGGGUAGCGGGCCUGAGAGGGUGAUCGGCGACAUGGCGACGGCGAUACGGCCCAGAAUGCUACCGGAGGCAGCAGUGGGGGAGAGUGCACAAUGGGCGAAAGCCUGAUGCAGCGACGCCGCGUGGGGGAUGAAGUCUUACGGGUUGUAAAACUCUUUCGCUAUAGAUACGGUAGGUGGAGAAGAAGCGCCGGCUAACUACGUGCCAGCAGCCGCGGUAAUAC